rnacentral:lncRNA from 1 species
UUUGAAUGAGAUUCCAUAAUUAUACCAACUCCUAGAAAAUCUCCAAGUUCAAAUUGGUAACCAUAUUAUAUAUAAAUACCAACAUAUAUAUAUAUAUAGGGAAAUGAUCCAUAGCAUGUAUUUGCUAUGGAUGAAAAUUGGGCAAAUAACAUCUAUACCACACAUUACAUAAAGCAAGGGCUGGGAUUAAAAAGUAAUAUGCGGGCUGGGAUUAAAAAGUAAUAUGCGGCGUCCGCUAGUUCAACUAGCGGACUCUGCAAAAAAAAUACGUUCAUCCGCCAGUUGAACAAGCGGAUUCCAAAAAAAAAAAUUCCACCCCAAUUUACUCCCAAAUUCAGACAGAUUGAAAAUAAUUAAUUCAUCCCAUCCGCUAGUUCAACUAGUGGAUGUAUAAGCA